ACUUCCACCCAUUCUGGUGGACGCAUGCAGUCAAUCAGCAGCAUUGAUACUGAACUGACUGAGCUGAGGCACCGUGGAGCAGCAUCUAACGUGGACCGACCAAGGACAGAACAAGUCUGAGAUCAGCUGGGCAUAAAACAGGCAGAGGCACGGAACAAGUGUGGGGGGCGGUGGGCGAGCACAUGUAGAUGAGGAGAUGCCCAUGUGGUGGUGUAUCAGGAACAGGCACGAGGUUCAGCCAAGAGCGCCUGGCAGCACCAGCUCAUCCUUCGGCCACGUGCUCUGCUGGGGACAGAGGAACACAUGCUCGUGCCCUGCGAUAUCGGCCACCACCUGAAUCAAGUAUUCCGCUCCAUGGCAACGCGGGCUUUUAUUAUGGUGAAUUUCUCAUGGAUUACAUCCCUUGUAAAUGCUCUAAAUAACUUCUAAAUGUUGAAAUGAACAAAAUGUUGGAGCAUUUUUUUGAGUAACGCCAUAAAUAUGAUCCUUACAUGCAACUGAUUACAAAAUGUUAUUGUGAGAGAAAAGUAAUUCACUCAGUGCAUAAACUAGUUAAUUACUAUCCCUCCCAUUAUAUGCUACUGAGUUAGAUUCAUUUUGGUGUUUUCAAGUACAGUAAAAAGUAACAUCUGACAACAA